GCAGUUCCAACGUCUGCACCAGUACAGCUGAUGUUCAGAGUAGGAGCGAUAAAACUUACUCAUCUCAUGCAAACAUUCCACAAGUGAAGAACCUUCGCCUGGAAUUCAACGUAGGAGCUCCUUUUAUUCAUGAUGAUUUCCAUUAUUAUGAAAGAUAACUGGGACCACAACGACUCAACAUACAGGAGCUCCUUGUUGCUGCCUUUCUUCAAACAGCGAUUCACAAAGGUGCUAUUCCGUCAGCGGAGCUCCGCACUAACUUGUCCCAUCUGCACCGUAUUCCUUUACGGAUAAAAAAAUGAAAAAAACAGUCUAAAUAAACCACCAACACCAAAUGGACAAUUAAGUUAUAAAAGAAAACUAGGUCGCAACAAAAACUCCAACAAAUUUUAAUUGUUUUUACUAUUAA